rnacentral:tRNA from 1 species
UCUAAUAUGGCAGAAUAGUGCAAUGGAUUUAAGCUCCAUAAAUAAAGGACCACCUUUUUUUAGAA